rnacentral:rRNA from 1 species
AUGACGUGCUUGCACUGAAUGAGAUUUUAACACGAAGUGAGUGGCGGACGGGUGAGUAACACGUGGGUAACCUGCCCAGAAGCAGGGGAUAACACCUGGAAACAGAUGCUAAUACCGUAUAACAGAGAAAACCGCCUGGUUUUCUUUUAAAAGAUGGCUCUGCUAUCACUUCUGGAUGGACCCGCGGCGCAUUAGCUAGUUGGUGAGGUAACGGCUCACCAAGGCGAUGAUGCGUAGCCGACCUGAGAGGGUAAUCGGCCACAUUGGGACUGAGACACGGCCCAGACUCCUACGGGAGGCAGCAGUAGGGAAUCUUCCACAAUGGACGCAAGUCUGAUGGAGCAACGCCGCGUGAGUGAAGAAGGGUUUCGGCUCGUAAAGCUCUGUUGUUAAAGAAGAACGUGGGUGAGAGUAACUGUUCACCCAGUGACGGUAUUUAACCAGAAAGCCACGGCUAACUACGUGCCAGCAGCCGCGGUAAUACGUAGGUGGCAAGCGUUAUCCGGAUUUAUUGGGCGUAAAGCGAGCGCAGGCGGUCUUUUAAGUCUAAUGUGAAAGCCUUCGGCUCAACCGAAGAAGUGCAUUGGAAACUGGGAGACUUGAGUGCAGAAGAGGACAGUGGAACUCCAUGUGUAGCGGUGAAAUGCGUAGAUAUAUGGAAGAACACCAGUGGCGAAGGCGGCUGUCUGGUCUGUAACUGACGCUGAGGCUCGAAAGCAUGGGUAGCGAACAGGAUUAGAUACCCUGGUAGUCCAUGCCGUAAACGAUGAUUACUAAGUGUUGGAGGGUUUCCGCCCUUCAGUGCUGCAGCUAACGCAUUAAGUAAUCCGCCUGGGGAGUACGACCGCAAGGUUGAAACUCAAAAGAAUUGACGGGGGCCCGCACAAGCGGUGGAGCAUGUGGUUUAAUUCGAAGCUACGCGAAGAACCUUACCAGGUCUUGACAUCUUCUGCCAACCUAAGAGAUUAGGCGUUCCCUUCGGGGACAGAAUGACAGGUGGUGCAUGGUUGUCGUCAGCUCGUGUCGUGAGAUGUUGGGUUAAGUCCCGCAACGAGCGCAACCCUUAUUACUAGUUGCCAGCAUUCAGUUGGGCACUCUAGUGAGACUGCCGGUGACAAACCGGAGGAAGGUGGGGACGACGUCAAAUCAUCAUGCCCCUUAUGACCUGGGCUACACACGUGCUACAAUGGAUGGUACAACGAGUCGCGAAACCGCGAGGUUUAGCUAAUCUCUUAAAACCAUUCUCAGUUCGGACUGUAGGCUGCAACUCGCCUACACGAAGUCGGAAUCGCUAGUAAUCGCGGAUCAGCAUGC